UACGUAGGGGGCAAGCGUUGUCCGGAAUCAUUGGGCGUAAAGAGCGCGUAGGCGGCCCAGUAAGUCCGCUCUGAAAGUCAGGGGCUCAACCCCUGAAUGCGGGUGGAUACUGCUGGGCUAGAGUCCGGAAGAGGCGAGUGGAAUUCCUGGUGUAGCGGUGAAAUGCGCAGAUAUCAGGAGGAACACCAAUGGCGAAGGCAGCUCGCUGGGACGGUACUGACGCUGAGACGCGAAAGCGUGGGGAGCGAACAGG
rnacentral:rRNA from 1 species